rnacentral:rRNA from 1 species
UGGGGAAUAUUGGGCAAUGGGGGAAACCCUGACCCAGCAACGCCGCGUGAAGGAAGAAGGUUUUCGGAUUGUAAACUUCUGUCCUUGGUGAAGAGAAGAAGACGGUAGCCAAGGAGGAAGCCCCGGCUAACUACGUGCC